CCCCUCUCAGGGUCAUACCUGGAGAGUUUCCAGUACCCGAUCAGCCUCGGCUACAGGAGGGAGAGUCAAGCAGAGGCAUACCUAUUCCAUUCCCAGCCUGGGCAGUGGCUAGCAAGUGGAAGGCAAUCUGCUACAAGU